GUUCAUUGGACUCAGCCGGUUUUCGGUGUACUUCCUUUGAACGGGUCAACAUCAGUUUUGUCCGGGGGAUAAAGGCAGGAAGAAAGUGGCUUGCUUGCAAGUGUUAUAGCUUUCUGUCACAUACACUGGGGGAGACUGAGGACUGCAGCUCGCCUUUUGGCCGGGGUUCGCCCACGUUCGAGCUUAGGAUGUUGACAUAAUGGCUUUAAACGACCCGUCUUGAAACACGGACCAAGGAGUCUAACAUAUCUGCGAGUGUUUGAGUGUCAAACUCGAGCGCGUAAUGAAAGUGAACGUAKGAGGGAUCCGCAAGGAGCACCUUCGACCGAUCCGGAUCUCUUGUGAUGGAUUUGAGUAAGAGCAUAUAUGCUGGGACCCGAAAGAUGGUGAACUAUGCCUGAAUAGGGCGAAGCCAGGGGAAACUCUGGUGGAGGCUCGUAGCGAUUUCUGACGU
rnacentral:rRNA from 1 species